UCUGCUACAAAUUGAAAUUAAAAUCGGAAGACUUGAAUAAGCUUUACGUUAUCCUAAAGAACACUGCUUACGAAAUCUCGUGCGACGACACGCGAACGUAACGUACUAACCUUUAACAACUGGCAUCAGGAAGUAUUGAGGUUUAGUCAUGGAGAAUUACACGAUCGAGCAACCUGCCACACUGCGGACGAAACAAUGCAGUUAUUGCAGACGAAGUUUCAUGGUCGUGUUAUUUCGCGCCGCGGCGAUGUGAAUUGGCCACUAAGAUCGUGCGAUUUGACGCCAUUGGACUUCUUUCUUUGGGGUUUUCUGAAAGGAAAAGUGUAUGCCAAUGAUCCACAGACCAUUCCGGAGUUGAAGGAAGAAAUUAGACGUACCAUUAAUGAAAUUAGUCCGCAAUUAUGCCAAAAUGUCAUUGAAAAUUUUGUCAAAA